CUCCCUUAGCGGGUGGCCGUCUCCGAAAUACAGUGGCGGUCUCGCCGCAGCCUCUCCUGCGCAGUAGUUUGCACACUCGCAUCGGGAGCGCGGCGCGUCCACAGCCGUUAAACACCCAACUUCUGAAAUGUUGACCUCGGAUCAGGUAGGAAU
rnacentral:rRNA from 1 species